GGCGGCUGAACGAGCUGAGCGCCUAGAAUCGCAGCCUGUGGGAGCAUCCGCAGCUGCCGCAAGCGCAGCCUCCGCCCGGAUUCCUUACCUCGUAGCCGUCCCCGCUGCCGGCCCUCCUAGGCACCGCUGCCGCCACCGCCAGGGCCCAGGAACAUCUUCAGGACCACGGACAGCGCUCAUCCGCCCGGCCACUGCCCGCGCCCGAGCUGGCAUCGUUUCAGAACCACGAACAGCUCCUGGCGCAACCCCAGCCAGACCCUGGAGGCAGGGCUCACACAACCAAGUCGCCCCAUCAGCACCCGGGAACACUUGGGGUCAAGGCCAACAAGGAGAAGAAAGGUCCCCCAGGUUGCUGCGCUGCCCCCGGAACCCCUCUUCAGCAAGAAUCUCUCGCGCCCUCGGCAAGGGAGUCCUGAGCAGGAGACCUGAACAGGCGAUGGGAAACUGCGUGGAAGACCAGUGAGAGGGAAAUUGCACCUGGUCAGCACCUGGCCUUGACAAUGGUGAUGCUCAAGGGGAUGGAGAGAGGUAAAGUAGAGCUGAGGAUCUCAUCUUCAUUCAGUCUCAUGUGUGCUUCAAAUCUUGGGGAUAACUGUGAAGAUUUGCUGUAUUCCUUAAAACUCAUUUUUUUUCUCUCAUCUGUUGUGGACUUAGAGAAGCUAAGUUAGGGCAUGUUAGCUCACAGUGUAAGCUGACCAGAACCAUAGAAUCUAAGAGGAAACAUCGAAGAUGAUCUGGCUUGGCAGACCUACAACGUUUCAUUCAAGUCCCAAAAACAUGCAGUUUUCUAUCCCAAUUCCUUCAAAGACCCAUUUGCACUUCCCUCAUUUUCACCUGUUUUUUUUUUUUCUGUUUUUUUCUUUUUUUUCUUUUUUUUGGUUGUUGUUUCAUUUCUUUGUCUAGCAUAAAAAGCAGAAAAUCAGUUUUCCCUCAUUCCUCAAGGCUCAGCAAAAAGGGACAUUCUUCCACGAUACUAAGUGGUCUUUUCUCCUAAGGAGAGAGAACUUUUCCUUCUUUGGGGUAAAUGCCAAAGAGUAUAAUUGCUCGGUCACAUGAGAAGUGCACAUUUGGUUUUUGAAGAAACUGCCAAAAUACUUUUCAGAGUCACUAUACCGUGUUCUAGUCAUGCCCACGAUGUAUGAAAGAUCCAGUUUCUUUGCAUUCUUGCUAACAUUUUGUGUCAUUUUUUAUCUUAUCCAUUCUAACAGGCACAGUGGUAGCCCAUUGUGGUUUUAAUUUGCAUUUCUUAAUGGCUAAUGUUGCUGACCAUAUUUAUAUGUGCAUAUUUGCUGAUCACAUUUUCUUUGGUGAAAUGUCUCUUCGUGUCUUUUGACCAUUUUCUCAUGGGACAGUGUUUUAAAAUGUGUUGAGUUUUGAGAGUUUUUCAUAGAUUCUAUAUAUAAGUCCUUUGUUAUAUGGUUUGAAGAUGUUUUCACUCAGUCUGUAGCAUUUCUUUUUGUUCCUGUAAUAGGAUCCUUCACAGAGCAAGAGCCCUAAAUUAUUUUGAAGUUCGCCUUACCAGUUUUUCCUUCUAUGAAUUGUUUUUGUGUCAUGUCUAAGAACUAGGUGUUGAAAUUUCUCCUGUUUUCUUCUAAAAGUUUAAUAGCUUUCCAUGUUAAAUUUAAAUCUGUGAUCCAUUGAAAUUAAUUUUGAUAUAAGAUAGGAAUUUUAGGUUGAGGUUCAAAUUUUGCACAUGAAAAUGCCAUUGUUCCCAUAGCAUUUGGUGAAGGAUUCUCGUUUCUCUAUUGAGUUGCCUUUGCAGCUUUGUUAGAAAUCACUUGGCCAUGUUUGUGUAGAUCCACUUCUGGACUUUGUGUUCUGUUCCACUGGUCUCUGUAUCCAGCCCUUCCCCAAAACACACACUGUCGUGACUCCUCUAACAUCAGAGUAGGACUUAAAAUUGUGUAGCACAACUCCUCCUACUGAAUUCAUCUUUUUAUCUUUACCUUUUCAUAUAAAUUUAGGAAUCAGUUUGUCUAUACAGACAAAAUAUCCUGUGCUGAGAUUUUGGUGGAUUUGCUUUAAAGGAAU
rnacentral:lncRNA from 1 species